AACGAAAUUGCGGCAAAACAAGUCUAUAACGUGCAUUUUAUAUCACCUGGAGCCCGAUGAAACGUGCCGCUCGUUUCGUAAAGAUUAUAGGUACACACGCGGCUGCUCAUAAAGAUACAAUUUAGGAGACCGAAUAACACGAACUAAAAAGACACACCACAUCGUCGUACUGCAUUGCAUUCACAAUGGUCCGUGAAGAGGCGUUACCGUCUGAAAGAACACUGAAUUAGAAACCGCCGGUCGGGUCCCUCCCAUGUUGUUUUUUUCACAACCCCUUAACCCCCUCCAUACGAGAUUUUACUCUCGUUAUCAAAAACGGUCGCACUUCAACAAAUAUAAUUACGGUUCAGAAUACCUCGAAGCCCACCUGUCUAGUAUACCUACAUAAUAUAGUCGGGGACUCGGGGAUGAAAGAAAAAAUUCACAGCGGGGAGGAUAUCAUCGACACGGUCUAAUUUGGGAGUUGUACUUAUCCACGGACAAGUAUAAAGAAGUUAUUAUACAAAUUAUGAACGGCCCCCCACAUGGUGGUCUAUGGAUAAUGGAGAAAAAAGAUCAAGAGAUUUGUAUUAUAUUAUGUAUGGUAAAUGUGAAUCGAUGAAGGGAACAACGUGUGCCGUCCAAAACGACUAUUCAAUGACAAUCAUUUUUUCCCUGUGUAUUAUAUUAUGUAGUCUGUAAUUUAUAAAUGGACCAUGAACUAUUAUGAAAAAUAUUUGCGCAGAAGCUAAACAGUUAAACAGUUGUUUUUCUUUGUAAUGAUUAUGACUAAUUUAGUUUAAACCAUUAGAAAUUUUAUUGUUUGAAAUACUUGAAAUUAAUUUAAAAAAUAAAU